CACACCGCCCGUCACACCAUGAGAGCCGGUAACACCCGAAGUCAGAAGCCUAACCGCAAGGAGGGCGCUGCCGAAGGUGGGAUUGGUAAUUGGGGUGAAGUCGUAACAAGGUACC
rnacentral:rRNA from 1 species